rnacentral:rRNA from 1 species
UACGUAGGUGGCAAGCGUUGUCCGGAUUUAUUGGGUUUAAAGGGUGCGUAGGCGGCUUUGUAAGUCAGUGGUGAAAUAUGGCAGCUCAACUGUCAGGGUGCCAUUGAUACUGCGGAGCUUGAGUACAGAUGAGGUAGGCGGAAUUGACGGUGUAGCGGUGAAAUGCUUAGAUAUCGGCAAGAACACCGAUAGCGAAGGCAGCUUACUGGGAUGUAACUGACGCUGAGGCACGAAAGUGUGGGGAUCAAACAGG